AAAUUUCUGCCCUAUCAACUUUCGAUGGUAGGAUAGUGGCCUACCAUGGUGGCAACGGGUAACGGGGAAUUAGGGUUCGAUUCCGGAGAGGGAGCCUGAGAAACGGCUACCACAUCCAAGGAAGGCAGCAGGCGCGCAAAUUACCCAAUCCCGAUACGGGGAGGUAGUGACAAUAAAUACUGAUACGGGGCUCUUUUGGGUCUCGUAAUUGGAAUGAGAACAAUUUAAAUCCCUUAACGAGGAACAAUUGGAGGGCAAGUCUGGUGCCAGCAGCCGCGGUAAUUCCAGCUCCAAUAGCGUAUAUUAAAGUUGUUGCAGUUAAAAAGCUCGUAGUUGAACCUUGGGUCUGGCUGGCCGGUCCGCCUCACCGCGAGUACUGGUCCGGCUGGACCUUUCCUUCUGGGGAACCCCAUGGCCUUCACUGGCUGUGGGGGGAACCAGGACUUUUACUGUGAAAAAAUUAGAGUGUUCAAAGCAGGCCUUUGCUCGAAUACAUUAGCAUGGAAUAAUAGAAUAGGACGUGCGGUUCUA
rnacentral:rRNA from 1 species